GUUUAUGGCCGUGGUACCCUGAACAAGCCUGAUCCUGUCUGAUUUCAGAAGUUAAGCAGGGUCAAGCCUGGUUAGUACUUGGAUGGGAAAUCACCUAGGAAGAACAGGUGCGGUAGGCA
rnacentral:rRNA from 1 species